ensembl:snRNA U6 U6 spliceosomal RNA
GUGCUUGUUUUGGCAGCACAUAUACUAAAAUUGAAAUGAUACAGAGAAGAUUAGCAUGGCUCCUGUGUAAGGAUGACACGCAAAUUUAUAAAGUGUUUCAUAUUAAA